GAUGAACGCUGGCGGCGUGCUUAACACAUGCAAGUCGAACGGAAAGGCCCAAGCUUGCUUGGGUACUCGAGUGGCGAACGGGUGAGUAACGCGUGGGUGAUCUGCCCUGCACUUCGGGAUAAGCCUGGGAAACUGGGUCUAAUACCGGAUAGGACCACAUUUUGGAUGGUGUGGUGGAAAGUUUUUCGGUGUGGGAUGAGCUCGCGGCCUAUCAGCUUGUUGGUGGGGUAAUGGCCUACCAAGGCGUCGACGGGUAGCCGGCCUGAGAGGGUGUACGGCCACAUUGGGACUGAGAUACGGCCCAGACUCCUACGGGAGGCAGCAGUGGGGAAUAUUGCACAAUGGGCGCAAGCCUGAUGCAGCGACGCCGCGUGGGGGAUGACGGCCUUCGGGUUGUAAACUCCUUUCGCUAGGGACGAAGCGCAAGUGACGGUACCUGGAGAAGAAGCACCGGCUAACUACGUG
rnacentral:rRNA from 1 species